AGCCAAAUUAAGGUGAAACCGCGAAAGGCUCAUUAAAUCAGUUAUGGUUCCUUAGAUCGUACCCACAUUUACUUGGAUAACUGUGGUAAUUCUAGAGCUAAUACAUGCAAACAGAGCUCCGACCGGAGACGGAAGGAGUGCUUUUAUUAGAUCAAAACCAAUCGGCGGCAAUAGUGUUUUGGCAUUAUUGUUCGUCGCACUGCUUGGUGACUCUGAAUAACUUUUGGCUGAUCGCACGGUCUUGCACCGGCGACGCAUCUUUCAAAUGUCUGCCUUAUCAACUGUCGAUGGUAGGUUCUGCGCCUACCAUGGUUGUAACGGGUAACGGGGAAUCAGGGUUCGAUUCCGGAGAGGGAGCCUGAGAAACGGCUACCACAUCCAAGGAAGGCAGCAGGCGCGCAAAUUACCCACUCCCGGCACGGGGAGGUAGUGACGAAAAAUAACGAUACGGGACUCAUCCGAGGCCCCGUAAUCGGAAUGAGUACACUUUAAAUCCUUUAACAAGGACCAAUUGGAGGGUAAGUCUGGUGCCAGCAGCCGCGGUAAUUCCAGCUCCAAUAGCGUAUAUUAAAGUUGUUGCGGUUAAAAAGCUCGUAGUUGAAUUUGUGUUCCGCGCUGUCGGUUCACCGCCCGCGGUGUUAACUGGCACGUCUCGCGGAACGUCCUGCCGGUGGAUGUGAGAAUUUUUGUAUACUUCCCCAAUAUUAUACGUGUGCACACUUUAAUCGGUUUGUUACUGUAUAGUAUCUUUGGGUGGGGUUAUGAAUCAAUCCACAUCCGACUAUAAAAAAUCCUGUCGCGGUGCUCUUAAUUGAGUGUCGAGGCGGGCCGGCACGUUUACUUUGAACAAAUUAGAGUGCUCAAAGCAGGCUAAAAUUUCGCCUGAAUACUGUGUGCAUGGAAUAAUGGAACAGGACCUCGGUUCUAUUUUGUUGGUUUUCGGAACCCCGAGGUAAUGAUUAAUAGGGACAGAUGGGGGCAUUCGUAUUGCGACGUUAGAGGUGAAAUUCUUGGAUCGUCGCAAGACGGACAGAAGCGAAAGCAUUUGCCAAAAAUGUUUUCAUUAAUCAAGAACGAAAGUCAGAGGUUCGAAGGCGAUCAGAUACCGCCCUAGUUCUGACCAUAAACGAUGCCAGCUAGCGAUCCGCCGACGUUCCUCCGAUGACUCGGCGGGCAGCUUCCGGGAAACCAAAGCUUUUGGGUUCCGGGGGAAGUAUGGUUGCAAAGCUGAAACUUAAAGGAAUUGACGGAAGGGCACCACCAGGAGUGGAGCCUGCGGCUUAAUUUGACUCAACACGGGAAACCUCACCAGGCCCGGACACCGGAAGGAUUGACAGAUUGAGAGCUCUUUCUUGAUUCGGUGGGUGGUGGUGCAUGGCCGUUCUUAGUUGGUGGAGUGAUUUGUCUGGUUAAUUCCGAUAACGAACGAGACUCUAGCCUGCUAACUAGGCGUUACUUACCGGUAUCCUGAAGGCUCGUGUCUUUCGUUUCCUGGCGUACAUUUUUGUGUGUGGUGUAUAGUAUUGCUUGCGUGCAUACUGUUCCAACGGUGUGUGAGUCUGUGUGUAUGCAUUCACAUGCGGGUGUACGUUCAGUGCGAGAGUUCACGGUUUUUACUACCGGCGUACAUAUAAAUCUUCUUAGAGGGACAAACGGCUCUUAGCCGUAUGAGAUUGAGCAAUAACAGGUCUGUGAUGCCCUUAGAUGUUCUGGGCCGCACGCGCGCUACACUGAAGGAAUCAACGUGUCUUCCCUGGCCGAACGGUCCGGGUAACCCGCUGAACCUCCUUCGUGCUAGGGAUUGGGGCUUGCAAUUUUUCCCCAUGAACGAGGAAUUCCCAGUAAGCGCGAGUCAUAAGCUCGCGUUGAUUACGUCCCUGCCCUUUGUACACACCGCCCGUCGCUACUACCGAUUGAAUGAUUUAGUGAGGUCUUCGGACUGGUACGCGGUGGCGUUUAUACAUCGCCGAUGUCGCUGG
rnacentral:rRNA from 1 species